rnacentral:snRNA from 1 species
GUGUUUGCUUCAGCAGCACAUAUACUAACAUUGGAACGAUACAGAGAUGAUUAGCAUGGCCCCUGUGCGAGGAUGACAUGCAAUUCAUGAAGGAUUCCAUAUUUUU